rnacentral:rRNA from 1 species
AUGGGGCAGCUCAGCAAGAAGCUUCUGGUGGCGUCCAUGGUGGUGGCGGUGCUGGCCGUGGCAGCAGUGGAGCUGUGCGGCGCCAUCCCGCUCGAGGACAAUGACCUGGAGUCGGAGGAGGCGCUGUGGGACCUGUACGAGCGGUGGCAGACCGCGCACCGCGUGCCCCGCCACCACGCUGAGAAGCACCGCCGCUUCGGCACCUUCAAGUCCAACGUCCACUUCAUCCACUCCCACAACAAGCGCGGCGACCGCCCCUACCGCCUCCGCCUCAACCGCUUCGGCGACAUGAGCCAGGCCGAGUUCCGCGCCACCUUCGCCGGCUCCCGCGUCAGCGACCGCCGCCGCGACGGCCCCGCCACGCCACCGUCGGUCCCGGGGUUCAUGUACGCCGCCGUGAACGUGUCGGACCUGCCGCGGUCCGUGGACUGGCGCCAGAAGGGCGCGGUGACCGGCGUCAAGAACCAGGGCAAGUGCGGCAGCUGCUGGGCUUUCUCCACCGUGGUGUCCGUGGAAGGCAUCAACGCCAUCCGAACCGGGAAGCUGGUGUCGCUGUCGGAGCAGGAGCUCAUCGACUGCGACACGGCGGACAACGACGGGUGCGAGGGCGGGCUCAUGGACAACGCCUUUGAGUACAUCAAGAAAAACGGCGGGCUCACCACCGAGGCCGCCUACCCGUACCGGGCUGCCAACGGCACCUGCAGAGCCGCGAAGGUGGCCAAGAGCUCCCCCAUGGUGGUGCACAUCGACGGACACCAGGACGUGCCGGCCAACAGCGAGGAGGCGCUGGCCAAGGCCGUGGCGAACCAGCCCGUGUCCGUGGGCAUCGAUGCCAGCGGGAAGGCGUUCAUGUUCUACUCCGAGGGGGUGUUCACCGGUGAGUGUGGAACAGAGCUGGACCACGGCGUCGCGGUGGUCGGGUACGGCGUGGCGGAGGACGGCAAGGCGUACUGGACGGUGAAGAACUCGUGGGGCCCGUCGUGGGGGGAGAAGGGGUACAUCAGGGUGGAGAAGGAUUCCGGUGCCGAAGGCGGGCUCUGCGGCAUCGCCAUGGAGGCAUCCUACGCCGUCAAGACGGACAGCAAACCCAAGCCCACGCCCAGGCGCGCGCUCGGCGCCUGGGAGUCUCAGUGA